UCGGUUUUAAAUAAUCCUUAUAUGUAAAUGUGGUACAAAAAUGCCUAGUUUAACAUGGUGACCUCACUUUCCAUGUUUAACAACUAUAAAAUAUGGUUUAGGGAAGAACAGUACCAAAACCUAAUAUAUGCAUAUGAGGAGUUUCUGGACUUUGUUGUUUUGUUGUUCCGACCUCUUUUAAACUUGCCUAGAUAGGUAGUUUUCAUUUCCUUCACCCUCUUGCCAUGUUUAACAUCAUUUAAUAUUGUUGGGUACAUAAACGAGAUCGAAAUAAAUAACUUGAAUGUGGUGUUUCGUCAAUAUGCAACGGAGUUGCAUAUUGAGCUCCACUUAAUUUGUAGGAUUGCUUGUGCACUUUGCCAUGCCAUGUAUCUUUAAACCGGACAUGCAUCAUACUUGUUUGCGCAUCGUGCCAUGUUAAUGUGGUGGUUGUUUACUAUGUUGUUUGCUUCUUUCCGGUGUUGCUUCUUCGGGUUGGUUCCGAUAACGUCGUGUUGUGAGGAUUCGUUCGACUACGUCCGUUUGUCUUCUUCAUGGGCUCGUUCUUCUUCCUUGUGGGAUAUCAGGCAAGAUGACCAUACCCUCGAAAUCACUUCUAUCUUUGCUUGCUAGUUGCUCGCUCUAUUGCUAUGCCUAUGCUGCGAUACCUACCACAUGCUUUACCAUGCCUCCCAUGUUGCCAUGUCAAACCUCUAACCCACCUUGUCCUAGAAAACCGUUGUUUGGCUAUGUUACCGCUUUGCUCAGCCCCUCUUAUAGCGUUGUUAGUUGCAGGUGAAGAUUGGAGCUUGUUCCAUGUUUGGAACAUGGUUAUUUUUUUAGGAUAUCACAAUAUCUCUUAUUUAAUUAAUGCAUCUAUAUACUUGGUAAAGGGUGGAAGGCUCGGCCUUAUGCCUGGUGUUUUGUUCCACCCUUACCGCCCUAGUUUCCGUCAUAUCGGUGUUAUGUUCACGGAUUUUGCGUUCCUUACAUGGUUGGGUUAUAAUGGGAACCCCUUGACAGUUCGCCUUGAAUAAAACUCCUCCAGCAAGGCCCAACAUUGGUUUUAGCAUUUUCCACCUAGCCUUUUCUUUCCCUUGGGUAGGCCUGCCCAAGGGUCAUCUUUAUUUAAACUCCCCCACCCCCCGGGCCAGUGCUCCUCUGAGUGUUGGUCCGAAAUGGGCAGCCUGCGGGGCCACCUCGGGGCAACUCGAGGGAUGGUUUUACUCGUAGCUUGACCUAUCCGGUGUGCCCUGAUAACGAGAUAUGUGUAGCUCCUAUCGGGAUUUGUCGGGACAUCUGGGUGGCUUUGCUGGACUUGUUUUACCAUUGUCGACGAUGUCUUGUAACCGAGAUGCCCAGUCUGAUCGGAUUGUCUUGGGAGAAGGAAUAUCCUUCGUUGACCAUGAGAGCUUGUGAUGGGCUAAGUUGGGACACCCCUGCAGGGAUUUGAACUUUCGAAAGCCGUGCCCAUGGUUAUGGGCAGAUGGGAAUUUGUUAAUGUCUGGAUGUAGAAAACCUGAAGUUUAUCUUAAUUAAAAUGCAUCAACCGUGUGUGUAACCGUGAUGGUCUCUUCUCGGCGGAGUCCGGGAAGUGAACACGGUGUUGGUGUUAUGAUUGACGUAGGUUGUUCUAGGAUCACUUCUUGACCAUAGAUUCUCGAAUGUGCUUUGCCUUCUCUUCUCGCUCUCUUUUGCGUAUGUUAGCCACCAUAUAUGCUAGUCGCUUGCUACAGCUCCACCUCAUACCUUUUCCCUACCUAUAACCUUAAAUAGUCUUGAUCGCGAGGGUGUGAGAUUGCUGAGUCCCCGUGACUCACAGAUACUUCCAAAACCAUCUUGCAGGUGCCAAUGAUAUCAUGCAGGUGAUGCAACCGAGCUCAAGGAGGAGCUCAAUGAAGUUCGUGUUCGUUAUGUUGUUCCGUUUUCCAGUUGAUCAGUGGUGGAGACCAGUUGGGGUCGAUCGGGGAUCUGUGUAGCAUUUGGGGUAGUCUUCUUUUAUUUUGGGUUUCAUAGUCGGACCUUGAUUGUAUCUGGAUGAUGUAAUGCUUAUUCAUGUAUUGUGUGAAGUGGUGAUUGUAAGCCAACUAUGUACCUCCUUUCUUAUUCAUUACAUGGAUUUUUGUGAAGAUUACC
rnacentral:lncRNA from 1 species